rnacentral:rRNA from 1 species
UACAGAGGUCUCAAGCGUUGUUCGGAUUCAUUGGGCGUAAAGGGUGCGCAGGCGGCGAGGCAAGUCGGACGUGAAAUCUCGGGGCUUAACCCCGAAACUGCGUUCGAUACUGCCUUGCUUGAGGACUGGAGAGGAGACUGGAAUUCCUGGUGUAGCAGUGAAAUGCGUAGAUAUCAGGAGGAACGCCAAUGGCGAAGGCAGCUACCUGGACCAACACUGACACUGAGGCACGAAAGCGUGGGGAGCAAACAGG